UAAUGGAUUUUAGCUACACAACUUUAAAGAACUAAAGUAAUUAAGCUUUGCUAAAGAAGAUUGAGAGAAGGGAGCGACAUCAAGAAUCUUAAUGUUGUUAAGAGAAACUUGGCAUAUAAGGGGCACACUCAACAAAAAGAUAGAACAAACCUUUGUAAUGACAUACCAUUGUUAGUGGAACUCAGAUCCAAUAACGCUCUGUCAAAAUCAGGUUUAAGACUGUUCCCGUUAGACUAAGAAUCCCUAUUGUUAUUAAGAUUGACCAUUUAUAAAC